rnacentral:rRNA from 1 species
UACGGAGGAUGCGAGCGUUAUCCGGAUUUAUUGGGUUUAAAGGGUGCGUAGGCGGGCUUUUAAGUCAGCGGUAAAAAUUCGGGGCUCAACCCCGUCCGGCCGUUGAAACUGGGGGCCUUGAGUGGGCGAGAAGUAUGCGGAAUGCGUGGUGUAGCGGUGAAAUGCAUAGAUAUCACGCAGAACCCCGAUUGCGAAGGCAGCAUACCGGCGCCCGACUGACGCUGAAGCACGAAAGCGUGGGUAUCGAACAGG